CCUACGGGAGGCUGCAGUGAGGAAUAUUGGUCAAUGGGCGCGAGUCUGAACCAGCCAAGUCGCGUGAGGGAAGACGGUCCUAUGGAUUGUAAACCGCUUUAGCCGGGGAGCAAAAGACGCCACGCGUGGCGUUCCGAGAGUACCCGAAGAAAAAGCGUCGGCUAAUUCCGUGCCAGCAGCCGCGGUAAUACGGAGGGUGCGAGCGUUAUCCGGAUUUAUUGGGUUUAAAGGGAGCGCAGGCGGAAGAUCAAGUCAGCGGUAAAAUUGAGAGGCUCAACCUCUUCGAGCCGUUGAAACUGGUUUUCUUGAGUGAAUGAGAGGUAUGCGGAAUGCGUGGUGUAGCGGUGAAAUGCAUAGAUAUCAAGCAGAACUCCGAUUGCGAAGGCAGCAUACCGGCGCGCAACUGACGCUCAUGCUCGAAAGUGUGGGUAUCGAACAGGAUUAGAUACCCGAGUAGUC
rnacentral:rRNA from 1 species